rnacentral:rRNA from 1 species
AGCGAACGUUUGCGGCGGGCCUAACACAUGCAAGUCGAACGCACUAGCAAUAGUGAGUGGCGCACGGGUGCGUAACACGUGGGUAAUCAACCCUUCAGCUUGGGAUAACGACUUGAAAGGGUCGCUAAUACCGGAUACGGCGCGGGAGGCUUCGGCUUCUCACGAGAGAGCCUCGCAAGGGGCACUGAAGGACGAGCCUGCGGCCCAUCAGCUAGUUGGUGAGGUAAGAGCUCACCAAGGCGAAGACGGGUAGCUGGUCUGAGAGGAUGAUCAGCCACACUGGAACUGAGACACGGUCCAGACUCCUACGGGAGGCAGCAGUGGGGAAUAUUGCGCAAUGGGCGAAAGCCUGACGCAGCCACGCCGCGUGAGCGAUGAAGGCC